rnacentral:rRNA from 1 species
CUGUCUUAUUCAUAAAAAUUGAAUUUGACUUUUAAGUGAAAAGGCUUGAAUUUAAUAAAGGGACGAUAAGACCCUAUAAAACUUAAUAUUAAAUGGAUUAUAUCUUAUAGUUUUGUGUUUAGUAAGAAAUAAUUUAUUUAUAUUUUACUGGGGCGGUAAGAAUAUAAUAAAUUAACUGUUCAUGGUAGAUGGCAAUCUAAUUGCUUUUGAGGAUCCUUUAAUUAAGAUUAAAAGAAUAAGUUACUUUAGGGAUAACAGCGUUAUUUUUUUUAAGAGUUCAUAUCGACAAAAAAGAUUGCGACCUCGAUGUUGAAUUAAAAAUUCCUUAUAAUGCAGCAGUUAUAAAGGAAGGUCUGUUCGACCUUUAAAUUUUUA